rnacentral:rRNA from 1 species
UACGAAGGGGGCUAGCGUUGCUCGGAAUCACUGGGCGUAAAGGGUGCGUAGGCGGGUCUUUUAAGUCAGGGGUGAAAUCCUGGAGCUCAACUCCAGAACUGCCUUUGAUACUGAAGAUCUUGAGUUCGGGAGAGGUGAGUGGAACUGCGAGUGUAGAGGUGAAAAUUCGUAGAUAUUCGCAAGAACACCAGUGGCGAAGGCGGCUCACUGGCCCGAUACUGACGCUGAGGUGCGAAAGCGUGGGGAGCAAACA